rnacentral:rRNA from 1 species
CCUACGGGUGGCAGCAGUGGGGAAUAUUGCACCAUGGGGGAAACCCUGAUGCAGCAACGCCGCGUGAGUGAUGACGGCCUUCAGGUUGUAAAGCUCUGUCUUCAGGGACGAUAAUGACGGUACCUGAGGAGGAAGCCACGGCUAACUACGUGCCAGCAGCCGCGGUAAUACGUAGGUGGCGAGCGUUGUCCGGAUUUACUGGGCGUAAAGGGAGCGUAGGCGGACUUUUAAGUGAGAUGUGAAAUACUCGGGCUCAACUUGAGUGCUGCAUUUCAAACUGGAAGUCUAGAGUGCAGGAGAGGAGAAUGGAAUGCCUAGUGUAGCGGUGAAACGCGUAGAGAUUAGGAAGAACACCAGUGGCGAAGGCGAUUCUUUGGACUGUAACUGACACUGAGGAACGAAAGCCGGGGUAGCAAAUGGGAUUAGAUACCCGGGUAGUC